AUGUAGGGCAAUCUGUCUUUAUGUAGGAGUAAAUUACUCUCUAAAAGAAAAAGAAUCCUAGAUAGUUUCCCCUUUAAGUCAAGUGUCUUGU
rnacentral:pre_miRNA from 1 species